GAACGUUACCAAACUGUUGCCUCGGCGGGAACUCAUGCCCCGGGGGCGRCGSAGCCCCGGACCAAGGCGCCCGCCGGAGGACCMMYCAAAACUCUUUUUGUAUACCCCCUCGCGGGUUUUUUAUAAUCUGAGCCUUCUCGGCGCCUCUCGUAGGCGUUUCGAAAAUGAAUCAAAACUUUCAACAACGGAUCUCUUGGUUCUGGCAUCGAUGAAGAACGCAGCGAAAUGCGAUAAGUAAUGUGAAUUGCAGAAUUCAGUGAAUCAUCGAAUCUUUGAACGCACAUUGCGCCCGCCAGUAUUCUGGCGGGCAUGCCUGUCCGAGCGUCAUUUCAACCCUCGAACCCCUCCGGGGGGUCGGCGUUGGGGAUCGGCCUUCCUUCACGGGGGCCGUCUCCGAAAUACAGUGGCGGUCUCGCCGCAGCCUCUCCUGCGCAGUAGUUUGCACACUCGCAUCGGGAGCGCGGCGCGUCCACAGCCGUUAAACACCCAAC
rnacentral:rRNA from 1 species